CCCUUAGAUGUUCUGGGCAGCACGCGCGCUACAAUGGUCUUCGCAAACGGAUGCAUUCUCGAAGGAGAAUGCCAAUCUUGGAAUCUAUGCCUUGGUCGGGACAGUUGCUUGCAAUUUUUCGACUCGAACCAGGAAUUCCUUGUAAUCGUGAUUCAUCACAUCACGAUGAAUACGUCCCUGCCCUUUGUACACACCGCCCGUCGCUACUACCGAUUGAAUGGUUUAGUGAGAUCUCCGGAUUGGCGGCCUUGGUACCUUCACGGGUCCAACGGUUCUGCCGAGAAGCUGCUCGAACUUGAUCAUUUAGAGGAAGUAAAAGUCGUAACA
rnacentral:rRNA from 1 species